CCCGACUGCUAUUUGGGUGAGGAUAAGCCAUGCGAGUCGAAUGGGAUGCCUAAAAUUCCCAUGGCAAACUGCUCAGUAACACAUGAUCAACUUACCCUAUAGAGAAAAAUAACCUCGGGAAACUGAGGAUAAUGUUUCAUAAUUGAAUCGGCUUGGAAAAGUUUUUCAAUUAAAAGAAUAAGAAAAAUGGUUCUUGUUCGCUAUAGGAUAGGAUCGUGGACGAUUAUGGUUGUUGGUGAGGUAACGGCUCACCAAGCCGAUAAUCGAUAGGGGCCGUGAGAGCGGGAGCCCGAGAUGGGUACUGAGACAACGACCCAGGCCUUACAAGGCGCAGCAGGCGCGGAACCUCCGCAAUACACGAAAGUGUGACGGGGUUACCCAAAGUGUUCAUUUUUGAACUGUGGUAGGUGAGUAAUGUUCCCUACUAGAAAGGAGAGGGCAAGGCUGGUGCCAGCCGCCGCGGUAAAACCAGCUCUUCAAGUGGUCGGGAUAAUAUUGGGCUUAAAGUGUCCGUAGCUGGUUUAGUAAGUUCCUGGUAAAAUCGGGUAGCUUAACUAUCCGUAUGCUAGGAAUACUGCUAUACUAGAGGGCGGGAGAGGUCUGAGGUACUACAGGGGUAGGGGUGAAAUCUUAUAAUCCUUGUAGGACCACCAGUGGCGAAGGCGUCAGACUGGAGCGCGCCUGACAGUGAGGGACGAAAGCCAGGGGAGCGAACCGGAUUAGAUACCCGGGUAGUCCUGGCCGUAAACGAUGCAUACUAGGUGAUGGUACGGCCAUGAGCCGUAUCAGUGCCGUAGGGAAACCGUUAAGUGUGCCGCCUGGGAAGUACGGUCGCAAGGCUAAAACUUAAAGGAAUUGGCGGGGGAGCACCACAAGGGGUGAAGCCUGCGGUUCA
rnacentral:rRNA from 1 species